UAGGGAAUCUUCCACAAUGGACGCAAGUCUGAUGGAGCAACGCCGCGUGAGUGAAGAAGGUUUUCGGACCGUAAAGCUCUGUUGUUGGUGAAGAAGGAUAGAGGUAGUAACUGGCCUUUAUUUGACGGUAAUCAACCAGAAAGUCACGGCUAACUACGUGCCAGCAGCCGCGGUAAUACGUAGGUGGCAAGCGUUGUCCGGAUUUAUUGGGCGUAAAGCGAGCGCAGGCGGAAGAAUAAGUCUGAUGUGAAAGCCCUCGGCUUAACCGAGGAAUUGCAUCGGAAACUGUUUUCUUGAGUGCAGAAGAGGAGAGUAGAACUCCAUGUGUAGCGGUGGAAUGCGUAGAUAUAUGGAAGAAUACCAGUGGCGAAGGCGGCUCUCUGGUCUGCAAACUGACGCUGAGGCUCGAAAAGCAUGGGUAGCGAACAGGAUUAG
rnacentral:rRNA from 1 species